rnacentral:misc_RNA from 1 species
GAUGAAGAACGUAGCGAAAUGCGAUAAGUAAUGUGAAUUGCAGAAUUCAGUGAAUCAUCGAAUCUUUGAACGCACCUUGCGCCCUUUGGCUAUUCCGAAGGGCAUGCCUGUUUGAGUAUCGUGAACACCUCAACUCUCAUGGUUUGCCAUGAUGAGCUUGGACUUUGGGGGUUUUGCUGGCCUUUGGUCGACUCCUCUCAAACGGAUCAGCUUUCCAGUGUUUGGUGGCGUCACGGGUGUGAUAACUAUCUACGCCUGUGGUUUUCUGCCAGAUAACCUUCAGCGAUGGAGGUUCGCUGGGGCUCAUAAAUGUCUCUCUUCAGUGGAGACAGCUUUUUGGACGUUUGAUCUCAAAUCAGGUAGGACUACCCGCUGAACUUAAGCAUAUCAAUAAGCGGAGGA